rnacentral:rRNA from 1 species
GUGGGGAUCUUGGACAAUGGGGGCACCCUGNUCCAGCCUGCCGCGUGGGUGAAGAAGGCCCUAGGGUUGUAAAGCCCUUUCAGCGGGGAAGAUGAUGACGGUACCCGCAGAAGAAGCCCCGGCUAACUCCGUGCCAGCAGCCGCGGUAAGACGGAGGGGGCUAGCGUUAAUCGGAAUUACUGGGCGUAAAGCGCGCUGUAGGCNGGCGUGAUAAGCCGGUUGUGAAAGCCCCGGGUUCAACCUGGGAACGGCAUCCGGAACUGUCAGGCUAGAGUGCAGGAGAGGAAGGUAGAAUUCCCGGUGUAGCGGUGAAAUGCGUAGAGAUCGGGAGGAAUACCAGUGGCGAAGGCGGCCUUCUGGACUGACACUGACGCUGAGGUGCGAAAGCGUGGGUAGCAAACAGGAUUAGAUACCCUGGUAGUCCACGCCGUAAACGAUGUCGACUAGCCGUUGGGGUCCUAGAGACCUUUGUGGGCGCAGUUAACGCGAUAAGUCGACCGCCUGGGGAGUACGGCCGCAAGGUUAAAACUCAAAUGAAUUGACGGGGGCCCGCACAAGCGGUGGAGCAUGUGGUUUAAUUCGAUGCAACGCGAAGAACCUUACCUACCCUUGACAUCGUGCGAACUUGGUAGAGAUACCUUGGUGCCUUCGGGAACGCACAGACAGGUGCUGCAUGGCUGUCGUCAGCUCGUGUUGUGAAAUGUUGGGUUAAGUCCCGUAACGAGCGCAACCCUUGUCCCUAUUU